GGAUCGGCCCGCGUUGGAUUAGGUAGUUGGUGGGGUAACGGCCUACCAAGCCGACGAUCCAUAGCUGGUUUGAGAGGAUGAUCAGCCACACUGGGACUGAGACACGGCCCAGACUCCUACGGGAGGCAGCAGUGGGGAAUCUUAGACAAUGGGGGCAACCCUGAUCUAGCCAUGCCGCGUGAGUGAUGAAGGUCUUAGGAUCGUAAAGCUCUUUCGCCAGGGAUGAUAAUGACAGUACCUGGUAAAGAAACCCCGGCUAACUCCGUGCCAGCAGCCGCGGUAAUACGGAGGGGGUUAGCGUUGUUCGGAAUUACUGGGCGUAAAGCGCGCGUAGGCGGGCUAUUAAGUCAGGGGUGAAAUCCCGGGGCUCAACCCCGGAACUGCCCUUGAUACUGGUAGUCUUGAGUUCGAGAGAGGUGAGUGGAAUUCCGAGUGUAGAGGUGAAAUUCGUAGAUAUUCGGAGGAACACCAGUGGCGAAGGCGGCUCACUGGCUCGAUACUGACGCUGAGGUGCGAAAGUGUGGGGAGCAAACAGGAUUAGAUACCCUGGUAGUCCACACCGUAAACGAUGAAUGCCAGUCGUCGGGUUGCAUGCAAUUCGGUGACACACCUAACGGAUUAAGCAUUCCGCCUGGGGAGUACGGCCGCAAGGUUAAAACUCAAAGGAAUUGACGGAGGCCCGCACAAGCAGCGGAGCGUGUGGUUUAAUUCGAGGCUACACGAAGAACCUUACCUGGGCUUGACAUGACGGUGGUAGGGAACCGAAAGGGGACCGACCUUCGGGAGCCGCCACAGGUGCUGCAUGGCUGUCGUCAGCUCGUGUCGUGAGAUGUUCGGUUAAGUCCGGUAACGAGCGCAACCCUCAUCGCUAGUUACAAGUGUCUAGCGAGACUGCCCGUUCAACGCGGGAGGAAGGCGGGGAUGACGUCAAGUCAGCAUGGCCUUUAUGUCCAGGGCUACACACACGCUACAAUGGCCGGUACAAUGGGUCGCCAACCCGCGAGGGGGAGCCAAUCCACCAAAGCCGGUCACAGUUCGAAUUGCAGGCUGCAACCCGCCUGCAUGAAGUCGGAGUUGCUAGUAACCGCAGGUCAGCUAUACUGCGGUGAAUACGUUCCCGGGCCUUGUACACACCGCCCGUCACGUCAUGGGAGCUGGUCAUGCCUGAAGUCGGUGAGCCAACCGC
rnacentral:rRNA from 1 species